rnacentral:rRNA from 1 species
GAUGAACGCUAGCUACAGGCUUAACACAUGCAAGUCGAGGGGCAGCAUUAUCGAAGCUUGCUUUGAUAGAUGGCGACCGGCGCACGGGUGAGUAACGCGUAUCCAACCUUCCCAUCACUCAGGGAUAGCCCGCCGAAAGGCGAAUUAAUACCUGAUGGUCUCCUUUGCAGACAUCUAACGAGGAGUAAAGAUUCAUUGGUGAUGGAUGGGGAUGCGUCUGAUUAGGUAGUAGGCGGGGUAACGGCCCACCUAGCCGACGAUCAGUAGGGGUUCUGAGAGGAAGGUCCCCCACAUUGGAACUGAGACACGGUCCAAACUCC